UGGAUAUAACAUAAAAACUGAUAUGUAGAAUAUAUACAUAUGUACAGAAAAUAACUAGUAUGUUUACUCAGCUACAUACAAAUAUAAAUUUAUAUGUUUAGAAAUGUGUUUUUCUGCAUACUUCAGGUCUGAUGCUACCCAUAAAUAACAUAUCAUUGUUGUCUUACAAAAUAGUCACAGUUCUCCUUGCUCAAGAGUAGAAAUCAUUCAUGUUAAAUAGUAAAGAAUAUGAACUUCAUUUAUCUUUUUCCAUAUUUUUAAAAUAUAUUUUAAUAAUUUCGGGAGGGAGCAAUAAAAUUCCUAUAUCUUACCAGGUAGUCAAGUACAUAAUGAUAAUUUGUUUGAAAAACAUCUUAAGUUUUCAAAGUACAUUUAAGUACAUUAUGUCAUUUGAUUUUCUCAAGAAUUCAGGGAAGUAAGACAAGCAUUAGGAUUCCUUCUCCCAAGGUCACAGAACACAGCAACAGCAAAGUUGGACCUCAGAGUCAAGAUGGAAAAACUGAGGGAUCAAGAGAAUAAGUGGCUUGUCAGUAGAUGUGGAGUUAAUAAGUGGCAGAGGCAGAGUUUGAAUCUGCCAUACCAGCACAUUAAAUGCUAUAGCCUAGAUUCCUCACCUAAGGAUACCAGAUCUAAAAAGAGGUCUGAAUGCUUUUUAGCAUUCAAUUUCUACAGGGAUUCUCCAAUUCUAAUAUUUCAUCCCCUAAUGAUCCAAAGCAAGACCAAGUUAACAUUCUUUUAGCACUUCCAAGAAUAUACUAACUAGGCCAUUACAACAAAAAUGGGCUACCACAAGAUACCUGAUCUAGUAAAUGACUUUCAUCAUUAUAGGGUGAUAAUAAAAUUGGUCAGUUAAUGAUAAGGGAGUGUUCUUCAUCAGCAAUCUUGGACUUUGCUGAAAACAAACUACUAGAAACAUUAUUUGAUUAAAUUUAAUAAGUACUAUUGUUAGUGGAAUUGUGAAUAUAUCCAGCCAUUCUGGAGA